UUGCUCUUCAACGAGGAAUGCCUAGUAAGCGCGUGUCAUCAGCACGCGUUGAUUACGUCCCUGCCCUUUGUACACACCGCCCGUCGCUACUACCGAUUGAAUGGCUCAGUGAGGCCUUCGGACUGGCUCGGAGAGGUUGGCAACGACCACUCCGAGCCGGAAAGUUCGUCAAACUCGGUCAUUUAGAGGAAGUAAAAGUCGUAACAAGGUUUCCGUAGGUGAACCUGCGGAAGGAUCAUUACUGAGAGUACCAGGCUUCUGUCUGGCUACUUUUACCCAUGUUUUUCAAGUACCAAAGUUUCCUCGGCGGCUCUGCCCGCCGGUUGGACUCAUUCAAACCCUUUGUAGUUGCAGUCAGCGUCUGAUAAAACCUAAUAAUUAAAACUUUCAACAACGGAUCUCUUGGUUCUGGCAUCGAUGAAGAACGCAGCGAAAUGCGAUAAGUAGUGUGAAUUGCAGAAUUCAGUGAAUCAUCGAAUCUUUGAACGCACAUUGCACCUCUCGGUAUUCCGGGAGGUAUGCCUGUUCGAGCGUCAUUUGUACCCUCAAGCUCUGCUUGGUGUUGGGUGUUUGUUCCGCCUCUGCGCGUGAACUCGCCUUAAAACAAUUGGCAGCCGGCGUACUUGUUUCGGAGCGCAGCAGAUUUUUAUUGCGCCCUGGAUCGACGUACAGCGGCAUCCAAGAAGCCUUAUUUAACGCUCUUGACCUCGGAUCAGGUAGGGAUACCCGCUGAACUUAAGCAUAUCAAUAAGCGGAGGA
rnacentral:rRNA from 1 species